rnacentral:lncRNA from 1 species
GCCGGCCCUCGCCUCUCUCGCGCCCCGGGAUCCCCCGGCCCCCGGAUAGACACCCUCUCCGGCACGCGGUCCCCUGACCCGCGCUCCUCCUGGUCGCGCUUCCCGGGACCUACACGUGGGGUCCGAGGACGCGGGCGGAGGGGGCGGCCCGAUUGGGGCCUGUGAGGGGCCCUCCACGCAGGGCUUUGUCUUGGGCCACCCGGACACGGACGCGUCCAGCUGGCGUCCCUGGGCGCGCGGCCGGCUCUCUCUGGGAAUCAGUCCCUUCUACUGUCAUCGAGUUUGGAGAAGCCCGGCUGUACAGCGUUUUCUUUCCUUUUUUUUUUUCCCUUGGGGGCAGAGUUGAAAAUAAUUUGCCAAGUGGAAGCAUUUUAAAUAUAUCACCAUUUGGGCCGGGCGCGGUGGCUCACGCCUGUAAUCCCAGCACUUUGGGAGGCCGAGGCGGGCGGAUCACCUGAGGUCAGGAGUUCGAGACCAGCCUGACCAACAUGGUGAAACCCCCGUCUCUACUAAAAAUACAAAAAAUUAACCGGGCGUGGUGACAGGUGCCUGUAAUUCCAGCUACUCGAGAAGCUGAGGCAGGAGAAUCGCUUGAACCCUGGAGGUGGAGGUUGCAGUGAGCCGGGAUUGCGCCACUGCACUCCAGCCUGGGCAACAAGAGCGAGACUCCAUCUGAAAAAAAGAGAGAGAGAAAGAAAGGAAGAAAAGAAGAAAAGAAAAGAAAGAGGCAUGACAGUGCGGCCACAGGUGUUCCUCUAACUGGGCACGCAGCGGUGCUCCACUAAGCAAACGAAGGAAGCCCACCCCAUCAUGCCCCCACUCCCACGCAGCCCGGAGCAUCCUCCAAUACCCAAACCUCUCGCCUGCCUGGGUUUUAGGGGGAGUGAAGCUCCAGUCACUUCCCCCUGAGGACAUGCUCAGAGUUCAUCUGAUUCGGGCCUGCAUCUGGGGCUCUGGAUAGUCAGGGUCCCUGUCGGUGGCCAAGAUUAAGGGCGAAGUCAGAAGGGAUCACUGGCAGCCCAUUCCCCUGCCAAGGGGUGAGAGGAGCUGCCUUAUUUUUUCUGUGCUGUAUCUUAGAUGAUGACAGGCUAUUCUAGCACAUCAUUUCAGAAGGCCUGGGAUGCUUCUGCCACAGCGGCAGGGCCACGCGUUCUGGCUAUCUGUCUACCUGGUCCCCCCACCGUGAACACGUAAUGACCACCACCAACACUGGGAGGCUGCUCUGUGGUGGCCAUGGGAAGAGCUUGUCCAGAUGGACAGCUCAAACCUGGGGCACGGAGGCUAGCAUCGCCUAGGCGCUUUGAGAGCCAAGCUCCCCAGGCUGUUACAAAAUCACUUUUCCCCAAGUGAUAACAGCAAGUAACACUUUUACCUAAAAACCCAAAAACCCAAAAUGGACAGCCCUCUGGGCCAGGGAUACACUGUCAAAAGGACUGACUCUGAAGGAAGUCUCCCAGCCCUGGGUCCCCUCCCCUUCCUUUCUGUCCCUCAGGACCUUUGCGAAGGUGGCAGAGGACCACCGGACAGGGAGGAAAUUGGGAAGUUGGUGACAAUUAACUCGUUUCAGAAUUCUGGCCACAUGAAAAAAAGGAGAGAAGGAGGCUGGGUCCUCUCCAAGACUGGUGCCCAGGUCUCCCCUGAGUCAGGAAGCAGGUGAUCCCUAUGCCCCCUCUGUAUCGCCCUCAGCCAGCGGCAGGCCCUGAACAGCUGACUGCCCUCAUCUGGGAUCUGCCAUUGACCCCAAAACACCCACCCCCUCUGAGUAAAGGAUGUCGGCCGGACCCUGUUUGUUGGCUAACGUGAGCGAGACCCCUCCUCAGCGGCCAGUGAGGCCCCUUCCUCACAUUCUUCAUGGCAGCAGCACAGGCCUGGCUGUGGGGACCGCCGUCUAAAAGGAGCAACAGUGCGUCUGUCCAUCGCUGUGUCCAGGGCCUCUCGAGACCCCCAGAUGGGCGUGGGGGAGGAGGAGGCUGCUCAGACCCUCAGGAGCCCAGCCUGCCCUGACUGUGAUCCCAGGCCACUUCCUUCCUCAGCCUUCCCCCAGAGCACGCUAGGAGGGGCCGCCAGGAGGGGCAAGUGCCCACAGUCCCCUCAGAAGAGACUGCUGGUCCAGAGGCAGGGAGAAGCUGGCUGGAGCCUGGAGGAUGAUGGCCCCGGCGUCAGGAGUUUCGGCAACUGGACCCUUGAGCAGAGGCAAGCAGUACCCAGAUUCUGUGUCCAGCGGCCGCCCUCAGCCGGGCUCCCUCCCAGUGCCACAGAUGCCCACAGUGCACAGAUGCCCGCCGGGCACUGCUGAAGCUGCUUCGUCACAGCCAAUGCUUGCCUUACCCAGCCUGACUGUGGUCUCCAGACACUAAUGGAGGUACUGGGUGCCUCGCAAAUGCUUCUA